CCAGUGAAUGACAGCUGCUCGCGCGGGCGGGGCACAGCCACCGCUUCAGCCGGGCCAUGGGGCCGCUCGCGCUGCCGCCGCCGCCGCCGCCCCUCCUGCUGCUGCUGCUGCGGGCGCUGCUGCUGUCGGCGCUGCUGUGCGGGGCCGAGGAGGCCGCGCCCCCGUCGCCGCGCCCCGUGCAGGCCACGCUGUCGCCACCGCCCGCCGUGACGAACGGGAGCCAGCCGGGCCCGCCGCACAACAGCACGCACUCGCUCCCGUCGGAGUCGCUGGGCUCGCCGCUGCUGCGCUCCUUCUACGUGCUCACGGGCCUCAGCGGCCUGGCCGCGCUCUACUUCCUCAUCCGGGCGUUCAGGUUGAAGAAGCCACAGCGGAAGAGGUACGGCCUUCUGGCCAACACGGAGGACCCCACGGAGAUGGCUUCGCUGGAGAGCGACGAGGAGAUCGUCUUUGAGACGAGGAAUCUGAGAUGGUAGCGCAGGCCCCCCGUCCCGUCGCCUGCGGGGCCGGUCGGCGCGUCGGGGGGGCCGCCAGCCCGCCAGGAUGCUCAGGUCAGGGAAGCGGCAUUUUCAGAAGCUCUGGGGAGAGGACAGGAGACGAACUGGCCCCACCCACUGACCGCCUGCUGGCUGUGACGCAGCCCCCGCGAACUCCUGUGGGUCCUGCCCGGCUCGCCCGCUCUGCCGGGGGCCGCCUUGCCCUUCGCCCAGACGGCGCUGUCCAGGAUGGUGGGCGGGAGCCAGAGAGGCCCCGGAGUCCUCACGCAGGACUCUGAGACUGGCGGGACGGUGACCUGUGCUGUUGACCCCGCUCCUCGGGGAUGAGGCAGGGGAGGCCGGGACCCAAGGGCCUGUCUGGGAGCAUCUCCCCACUGGGCUGGAGGCAAUAAAGGCAGCGUGGUUCUGUGGC